GGUUAAGCGACUAAGCGUACACGGUGGAUGCCCUGGCAGUCAGAGGCGAUGAAGGACGUGCUAAUCUGCGAUAAGCGUCGGUAAGGUGAUAUGAACCGUUAUAACCGGCGAUUUCCGAAUGGGGAAACCCAGUGUGAUUCGUCACACUAUCAUUAACUGAAUCCAUAGGUUAAUGAGGCGAACCGGGGGAACUGAAACAUCUAAGUACCCCGAGGAAAAGAAAUCAACCGAGAUUCCCCCAGUAGCGGCGAGCGAACGGGGAGCAGCCCAGAGCCUGAAUCAGUGUGUGUGUUAGUGGAAGCGUCUGGAAAGGCGCGCGAUACAGGGUGACAGCCCCGUACACAAAAAUGCACAUGCUGUGAGCUCGAUGAGUAGGGCGGGACACGUGGUAUCCUGUCUGAAUAUGGGGGGACCAUCCUCCAAGGCUAAAUACUCCUGACUGACCGAUAGUGAACCAGUACCGUGAGGGAAAGGCGAAAAGAACCCCGGCGAGGGGAGUGAAAAAGAACCUGAAACCGUGUACGUACAAGCAGUGGGAGCACGCUUAGGCGUGUGACUGCGUACCUUUUGUAUAAUGGGUCAGCGACUUAUAUUCUGUAGCAAGGUUAACCGAAUAGGGGAGCCGAAGGGAAACCGAGUCUUAACUGGGCGUUAAGUUGCAGGGUAUAGACCCGAAACCCGGUGAUCUAGCCAUGGGCAGGUUGAAGGUUGGGUAACACUAACUGGAGGACCGAACCGACUAAUGUUGAAAAAUUAGCGGAUGACUUGUGGCUGGGGGUGAAAGGCCAAUCAAACCGGGAGAUAGCUGGUUCUCCCCGAAAGCUAUUUAGGUAGCGCCUCGUGAAUUCAUCUCCGGGGGUAGAGCACUGUUUCGGCAAGGGGGUCAUCCCGACUUACCAACCCGAUGCAAACUGCGAAUACCGGAGAAUGUUAUCACGGGAGACACACGGCGGGUGCUAACGUCCGUCGUGAAGAGGGAAACAACCCAGACCGCCAGCUAAGGUCCCAAAGUCAUGGUUAAGUGGGAAACGAUGUGGGAAGGCCCAGACAGCCAGGAUGUUGGCUUAGAAGCAGCCAUCAUUUAAAGAAAGCGUAAUAGCUCACUGGUCGAGUCGGCCUGCGCGGAAGAUGUAACGGGGCUAAACCAUGCACCGAAGCUGCGGCAGCGACACUGUGUGUUGUUGGGUAGGGGAGCGUUCUGUAAGCCUGCGAAGGUGUGCUGUGAGGCAUGCUGGAGGUAUCAGAAGUGCGAAUGCUGACAUAAGUAACGAUAAAGCGGGUGAAAAGCCCGCUCGCCGGAAGACCAAGGGUUCCUGUCCAACGUUAAUCGGGGCAGGGUGAGUCGACCCCUAAGGCGAGGCCGAAAGGCGUAGUCGAUGGGAAACAGGUUAAUAUUCCUGUACUUGGUGUUACUGCGAAGGGGGGACGGAGAAGGCUAUGUUGGCCGGGCGACGGUUGUCCCGGUUUAAGCGUGUAGGCUGGUUUUCCAGGCAAAUCCGGAAAAUCAAGGCUGAGGCGUGAUGACGAGGCACUACGGUGCUGAAGCAACAAAUGCCCUGCUUCCAGGAAAAGCCUCUAAGCAUCAGGUAACAUCAAAUCGUACCCCAAACCGACACAGGUGGUCAGGUAGAGAAUACCAAGGCGCUUGAGAGAACUCGGGUGAAGGAACUAGGCAAAAUGGUGCCGUAACUUCGGGAGAAGGCACGCUGAUACGUAGGUGAAGUCCCUCGCGGAUGGAGCUGAAAUCAGUCGAAGAUACCAGCUGGCUGCAACUGUUUAUUAAAAACACAGCACUGUGCAAACACGAAAGUGGACGUAUACGGUGUGACGCCUGCCCGGUGCCGGAAGGUUAAUUGAUGGGGUCAGCGCAAGCGAAGCUCUUGAUCGAAGCCCCGGUAAACGGCGGCCGUAACUAUAACGGUCCUAAGGUAGCGAAAUUCCUUGUCGGGUAAGUUCCGACCUGCACGAAUGGCGUAAUGAUGGCCAGGCUGUCUCCACCCGAGACUCAGUGAAAUUGAACUCGCUGUGAAGAUGCAGUGUACCCGCGGCAAGACGGAAAGACCCCGUGAACCUUUACUAUAGCUUGACACUGAACAUUGAGCCUUGAUGUGUAGGAUAGGUGGGAGGCUUUGAAGUGUGGACGCCAGUCUGCAUGGAGCCGACCUUGAAAUACCACCCUUUAAUGUUUGAUGUUCUAACGUUGACCCGUAAUCCGGGUUGCGGACAGUGUCUGGUGGGUAGUUUGACUGGGGCGGUCUCCUCCUAAAGAGUAACGGAGGAGCACGAAGGUUGGCUAAUCCUGGUCGGACAUCAGGAGGUUAGUGCAAUGGCAUAAGCCAGCUUGACUGCGAGCGUGACGGCGCGAGCAGGUGCGAAAGCAGGUCAUAGUGAUCCGGUGGUUCUGAAUGGAAGGGCCAUCGCUCAACGGAUAAAAGGUACUCCGGGGAUAACAGGCUGAUACCGCCCAAGAGUUCAUAUCGACGGCGGUGUUUGGCACCUCGAUGUCGGCUCAUCACAUCCUGGGGCUGAAGUAGGUCCCAAGGGUAUGGCUGUUCGCCAUUUAAAGUGGUACGCGAGCUGGGUUUAGAACGUCGUGAGACAGUUCGGUCCCUAUCUGCCGUGGGCGCUGGAGAAUUGAGGGGGGCUGCUCCUAGUACGAGAGGACCGGAGUGGACGCAUC
rnacentral:rRNA from 1 species